GACGAACUGUUCUAACGUUAUUCGGAAUCACUGGGCUUAAAGGGCGCGCAGGCUGUUAUGCGAGUCUGCUGUGAAAUGUACCGGCUCAACCGGUGCCUUGCGGCGGAUACUGCAUAGCUGGAGUACUGGAGAAGGAAGUGGAAUUCCAUGUGUAGCGGUGAAAUGCGUAGAUAUAUGGAGGAACACCAGUGGCGAAGGCGACUCUCUGGUCUGUAACUGACGCUGAGGCUCGAAAGCGUGGGGAGGCAAA
rnacentral:rRNA from 1 species